rnacentral:sRNA from 1 species
CUGUGGAGUGUACAAGAAUUUGUGAGUAGAUAUGUUAUCAAACAGUCAAAAACAUACACGUUGAAGCAGUAA